rnacentral:rRNA from 1 species
CCUACGGGUGGCUGCAGUGAGGAAUAUUGGUCAAUGGACGAGAGUCUGAACCAGCCAAGUAGCGUGAAGGAUGACUGCCCUAUGGGUUGUAAACUUCUUUUAUAUGGGAAUAAAAUGUUCCACGUGUGGGAUUUUGUAUGUACCAUAUGAAUAAGGAUCGGCUAACUCCGUGCCAGCAGCCGCGGUAAUACGGAGGAUCCGAGCGUUAUCCGGAUUUAUUGGGUUUAAAGGGAGCGUAGGUGGAUUGUUAAGUCAGUUGUGAAAGUUUGCGGCUCAACCGUAGAAUUGCAGUUGAAACUGGCAGUCUUGAGUACAGUAGAGGUGAGCGGAAGUCGUGGUGUAGCGGUGAAAUGCUUAGAUAUCACGAAGAACUCCGAUUGCGAAGGCAGUUCACUGGACUGCAACUGACACUGAGGCUCGAAAGUGUGGGUAUCAAACAGGAUUAGAUACCCCAGUAGUC